GGAGAGAUGGGUGAGUGGCUGAAACCACCGGUUUGCUAAACCGACGUACGGGGUAACCCGUACCACGAGUUCGAAUCUCGUUCUCUCCGCCA
rnacentral:tRNA from 1 species